GGGCUGGUAGCUCAGUUGGUAGAGCAGUGGACUCUUAAUCCAUUGGUCCAGGGUUCGAGCCCCUGCCGGCCCACCA
rnacentral:tRNA from 1 species